CAGAGUUAAAAGCUUACAUUUUAACAGUCCCAAGGUAAAGUCUACGUUCAAAGUACUGACCCCUGCUUCUUUUCUUCCCGGCCAGUCUGGUGGAUAGAGUAAAGACAACUCAGGGCAGGUGAGAGAGAAAAGAGGGAGCAAAAAAGUAAGGAAGUAAAGCAAAGAAGAAAGAAGAUGACUCCCCGAUUCCUGGAUGGAAAAAAUCUCGACUCUGAAAGAAGUCUUGCGGGAAUUUAUCGAAAUCUACUUGGCAGUCUAGUACCCUUAGGUACUAGACCAUUAUGGUCCCAGAGACACUUAGUUCAGGAUUUUCAUUGUCCUACUGUUGACCAAGAAGGAAGAGUCUGACAACAAUUAUCCAGAAGACAAAUACUGCGAGAGACAGCACAAUCCUGGCUCCUUUUCACCAGGGACUAAGACCAUUACUGCCCGGGUUAGCAAGGUCCACACUUUCUUUCCAGAGAUGUAGUAUUUUUAUCAUCAUGUCUGUUUCACACAAGAACACAAUUAGAGGAGAUUGCCUCAACAGAGGAAGCUGAUUAAGUUCACAGAUUUAUUGCAAAACCAUUUGGGAGUUGUGGAAAAUGAGUUUCACUGUGAAGCUUUCUUGCUUUAAGAAAAAAAAAAAAAAAGCAAGCUGCACCUUGAAUUAUCCGUCUGUAACAGAUCAUAAAAUACCCAUAGUCUUCCAUGUAAUUUACUCAUCUCAAGAGAUGCUGAAUACGUCUUCCAGGCUCUUAGUACCUUCCCAAGAGUUCAGUGAUUUUUAUGGGAUGGGGGAUUGGGGGUGGUUCUGACCCUAUGGCGUGCUGCCAGGCAGGAUACAUGUCACAAUAGAAGACUGUCUGUCAGAACACUGGCUUUACUGGCUUCUUCAGAAUAAUAUGUGGGAUUUUAUGGUGAUAAAGUUCAAUGGUGCCCCUUCAUUCAGAAUUCUUAACAAUUAAACAAAAGGGAACAGUUCAUAAAGCUCUAACUGAACUAAUCAUUUUUUGCUUAUUUUAUCAAAUCAAAUUAUCAAGAAUGCCGAGAUGAGCAUUAUCUCAUUUGCCACAAACAGGGUUUGAGGGUUGGAUUGGUUGAUUGAAAGGAGCAGUUCAAAGUGCAAGUUGACUUCAAAUCCAUUGUCAGUCCCAAGUCUACGCUCAUUAACCACUAAGCUUAUCUCCUUCCUGAUACUCUAUCGUGUGACUGCUAAUGGACCUUAAUUCACCACUGCUUUGUUUUUCUUGUCUUUCUUUCUUCCUUUUUUAAAAAAUCACAAUGAGUCCAUAUCUAGUCCUAACAGUUGCUCAUCUUUUGCCAGUAUCUGUUGUUUUUUCAGUCACAGAGCCCUCCUGAUGUUGCUUUAGAUAAUAGUUUCCCCAGCAUCAUAUUGAUGUCUUCCCAUCUGCCAGGGCCUCCCCUCCCAUAAUCACUCCAAGCAUGCUUUCUAGGAUCCCUGUCUGUAUUUUUGUUGGAUACACAGAGAUGUAAGGGAAUGGGCUGGUGCUUGAUUUGUAAUCUACCUUUGGUAAAGCAAAUUUGCUCUGGAAAAAUAAAGC
rnacentral:lncRNA from 1 species